rnacentral:rRNA from 1 species
CCUACGGGGGGCUGCAGUGAGGAAUUUUGGUCAAUGGACGCAAGUCUGAACCAGCCAUGUCGCGUGAAGGAGGACGGCCCUAAGGGUUGUAAACUUCUUUUGCAGUGGAAUAAAGUUUGCCACGUGUUGGCGAUUUGCAAGUACGCUGCGAAUAAGGAUCGGCUAACUCCGUGCCAGCAGCCGCGGUAAUACGGAGGAUCCAGGCGUUAUCCGGAUUUAUUGGGUUUAAAGGGUGCGCAGGCGGGGAAUUAGGUCGGCGGUGAAAUUUCGGGGCUCAACCUCGACAGUGCCGUUGAAACCGUUUCUCUUGAGUGCGGAUGAGGUAGGCGGAAUUUGUGGUGUAGCGGUGAAAUGCGUAGAUAUCACAAGGAACACCGAUUGCGGAGGCAGCUUACUAAACCGUUACUGACGCUCAUGCACGAAGGCGUGGGGAUCAAACAGGAUUAGAUACCCCAGUAGUC